rnacentral:rRNA from 1 species
UGGUGGGUAGUUUGACUGGGGCGGUCUCCUCCUAAAGAGUAACGGAGGAGCACGAAGGUUGGCUAAUCCUGGUCGGACAUCAGGAGGUUAGUGCAAUGGCAUAAGCCAGCUUGACUGCGAGCGUGACGGCGCGAGCAGGUGCGAAAGCAGGUCAUAGUGAUCCGGUGGUUCUGAAUGGAAGGGCCAUCGCUCAACGGAUAAAAGGUACUCCGGGGAUAACAGGCUGAUACCGCCCAAGAGUUCAUAUCGACGGCGGUGUUUGGCACCUCGAUGUCGGCUCAUCACAUCCUGGGGCUGAAGUAGGUCCCAAGGGUAUGGCUGUUCGCCAUUUAAAGUGGUACGCGAGCUGGGUUUAGAACGUCGUGAGACAGUUCGGUCCCUAUCUGCCGUGGGCGCUGGAGAACUGAGGGGGGCUGCUCCUAGUACGAGAGGACCGGAGUGGACGCAUCACUGGUGUUCGGGUUGUCAUGCCAAUGGCACUGCCCGGUAGCUAAAUGCGGAAGAGAUAAGUGCUGAAAGCAUCUAAGCACGAAACUUGCCCCGAGAUGAGUUCUCCCUGAGACUUAGAGUCUCCUGAAGGAACGUUGAAGACGACGACGUUGAUAGGCCGGGUGUGUAAGCGCAGCGAUGCGUUGAGCUAACCGGUACUAAUGAACCGUGAGGCUUAAC